rnacentral:rRNA from 1 species
UACAGAGGGGGCAAGCGUUGUUCGGAAUUACUGGGCGUAAAGGGCGCGUAGGCGGCCCGCUAAGUCGAACGUGAAAUCCCCGAGCUCAACUCGGGAACUGCGUCCGAUACUGGCGGGCUUGAAUCCGGGAGAGGGAUGCGGAAUUCCAGGUGUAGCGGUGAAAUGCGUAGAUAUCUGGAGGAACACCGGUGGCGAAGGCGGCAUCCUGGACCAUUACUGACACUGAAAAGCGAAAGCCAGGGGAGCAAACGGG